GGCCUUUUGUUAAUAAUUUAAGGUCUGACCUGCCCAGUGAUUAAUAUUUAACGGCCGCAGUAUCUUGACUGUGCAAAGGUAGCAUAAUCAUUAGUUUUUUAAAUGGAAGCUAGAAUGAAUGGUUUUAUAAGAAAAAAGCUGUCUCAAUAUUAUUUAAUUAUAAUUUUAUUUUUAAGUUAAAAAGCUUAAAUUUUAUAAAAAGACGAGAAGACCCUAUAGAGUUUUAUAUAUUUAAAAAUUUAUUAAUUUUAAGAUUAUAUUAAUUUUGAAUUUUUAAUAUUUUUUAUUGGGGUGAUGUAAAAAUUUGAAUAACUUUUUAUUAUUAAGUCAUUAAUUUAUGAAUAAUUGAUCCUAUAUUUUAGAUUAUAAGAAAAAAUUACCUUAGGGAUAACAGCGUAAUUUUUUUUAGAGUUCUUAUUGAAAAAAGAGAUUGCGACCUCGAUGUUGGAUUAAAAUUAAAUUUUGGUGAAGAAGCUAAAAAUUUAGGUCUGUUCGACCUUUAAAAUUUUACA
rnacentral:rRNA from 1 species